rnacentral:rRNA from 1 species
GAAAGAUUCAUCGGAAGAGGAUGGGCAUGCGGCGCAUUAGCUUGACGGCGGGGUAACGGCCCACCGUGGCGACGAUGCGUAGGGGUUCUGAGAGGAAGGUCCCCCACACUGGUACUGAGACACGGACCAGACUCCUACGGGAGGCAGCAGUGAGGAAUAUUGGUCAAUGGGAGAGAUCCUGAACCAGCCAAGCCGCGUGAGGGAAGACGGCCCUAUGGGUUGUAAACCUCUUUUGUCGGAGAACAAAACCCGGGACGUGUCCCGGACUGCGUGUAUCCGAAGAAAAAGCAUCGGCUAACUCCGUGCCAGCAGCCGCGGUAAUACGGAGGAUGCGAGCGUUAUCCGGAUUUAUUGGGUUUAAAGGGUGCGUAGGCGGUCUGUUAAGUCAGCGGUAAAAUUGCGGGGCUCAACCCCGUCGAGCCGUUGAAACUGGCAGACUUGAGUUGGCGAGAAGUACGCGGAAUGCGCGGUGUAGCGGUGAAAUGCAUAGAUAUCGCGCAGAACUCCGAUUGCGAAGGCAGCGUACCGGCGCCAGACUGACGCUGAGGCACGAAAGCGUGGGGAUCGAACAGGAUUAGAUACCCUGGUAGUCCACGCAGUAAACGAUGAAUGCUGGUUGUCCGGGUCGAAUGAGACCUGGGCGGCGA